rnacentral:rRNA from 1 species
GAUGAACGCUGGCGGCGUGCCCAAUACAUGCAAGUCGAGCGAACGGACGAGAAGCUUGCUUCUCUGAUGUUAGCGGCGGACGGGUGAGUAACACGUGGAUAACCUACCUAUAAGACUGGGAUAACUUCGGGAAGCCGGAGCUAAUACCGGAUGAUAUUUUGAACCGCAUGGUUCAAAAGUGAAAGACGGUCUUGCUGUCACUUAUAGAUGGAUCCGCGCUGCAUUAGCUAGUUGGUAAGGUAACGGCUUACCAAGGCAACGAUGCAUAGCCGACCUGAGAGGGUGAUCGGCCACACUGGAACUGAGGCACGGUCCAGACUCCUACGGGAGGCAGCAGUAGGGAAUCUUCCGCAAUGGGCGAAAGCCUGACGGAGCAACGCCGCGUGAGUGAUGAAGGUCUUCGGAUCGUAAAACUCUGUUAUUAGGGAAGAACAUAUGUGUAAGUAACUGUGCACAUCUUGACGGUACCUAAUCAGAAAGCCACGGCUAACUACGUG